UGACACGAUAGGCGCCCAGAACGGCGCAAGCCGAGCGCCAAGCGCUGACACCGUUGCUGGUGCGGCCAAAGGGUUCAGUGUGUAAAAUUUGGGGGAUUCGAAGGAGGGAAGGUUGAAAAUUUGGUGGUACCUCAAAUAUCUCAAAGUGUCAAUAAGGCCUCCCAAUCUUAACUUUUAGAUUGUGAUUUGGGGGAGAAAUGGUGAUGAUGGAAAGGAAUUUGUGUGAUGGUUGGUUGGAUGGAUGGGUGUUGCUUUCUUGGAAUCAAAUUAUCAGUCUCGGCUAGCUUGGAUAGUCGGAUUGGGUUGGAUCAGGUUGGACCUUUGCAAGGACAGUUUCACUGUGGACUGCUGCAACUUGUAGGGUGUAAAGUGUUCAGUCAGCAAUCUUCCCUGUAAAGUGUUCUGUCUAAAUUAUUCUUUCUUCCAUUAUCAGUGAAUUGAUUAUCCUUUUCAAGAUAAAUGAUUAAGUGAAGAUAAAAGAAACAAAGAGAUGGUUGGUCACCCCUCCCCCAAAGCAUAGUUCAGGUCCACACACUUGGAACUUGCGGCAUUAGAGUAUCUCCAGCCGUUCGCCACCCCUCCCCCAAAGGGCUUGAAAUAGCGCCGUCUGGGGGCACGUCGACGAUAAAUUCGGCGUGGGGGCGAUCGGGUUUCCAGCCGCCGUCCCAUGUCGCCCCACACGCAGUACAUGUCCAUGUCCAGCUUGGAUAGUUGGAUCAAAUUGCAGCUUUGCAAGGACAGUUCCACUGUGGACGGUUGCAACUUGUAGGGGAUGUAUCAUUAGUCAGCAAUAUUCCCUGUAAAAUGUUCCGUCUAAAUUAUUCUUUC
rnacentral:lncRNA from 1 species